rnacentral:rRNA from 1 species
CAUGUAGGCGGAUUGAUAAGUUUGAAGUGAAAUCCUAUAGCUUAACUAUAGAACUGCUUUGAAAAUUGUUAAUCUAGAAUGUGGGAGAGGUAGAUGGAAUUUCUGGUGUAGGGGUAAAAUCCGUAGAGAUCAGAAGGAAUACCGAUUGCGAAGGCGAUCUACUGGAACAUUAUUGACGCUGAGAUGCGAAAGCGUGGGGAGCAAACA